rnacentral:rRNA from 1 species
AUGGACCCGCGGCGCAUUAGCUAGUUGGUGAGGUAACGGCUCACCAAGGCAACGAUGCGUAGCCGACCUGAGAGGGUGAUCGGCCACACUGGGACUGAGACACGGCCCAGACUCCUACGGGAGGCAGCAGUAGGGAAUCUUCCGCAAUGGACGAAAGUCUGACGGAGCAACGCCGCGUGAGUGAUGAAGGUUUUCGGAUCGUAAAGCUCUGUUGUUAGGGAAGAACAAGUGCCGUUCAAAUAGGGCGGCACCUUGACGGUACCUAACCAGAAAGCCACGGCUAACUACGUGCCAGCAGCCGCGGUAAUACGUAGGUGGCAAGCGUUGUCCGGAAUUAUUGGGCGUAAAGGGCUCGCAGGCGGUUUCUUAAGUCUGAUGUGAAAGCCCCCGGCUCAACCGGGGAGGGUCAUUGGAAACUGGGGAACUUGAGUGCAGAAGAGGAGAGUGGAAUUCCACGUGUAGCGGUGAAAUGCGUAGAGAUGUGGAGGAACACCAGUGGCGAAGGCGACUCUCUGGUCUGUAACUGACGCUGAGGAGCGAAAGCGUGGGGAGCGAACAGGAUUAGAUACCCUGGUAGUCCACGCCGUAAACGAUGAGUGCUAAGUGUUAGGGGGUUUCCGCCCCUUAGUGCUGCAGCUAACGCAUUAAGCACUCCGCCUGGGGAGUACGGUCGCAAGACUGAAACUCAAAGGAAUUGACG